GUGCUCACUUAGGCAACACAUAUACUAAAACUGGAAUGGUACAGAGAAGAUUAGCAUGGCCCUUGAGCAAGGAUGACAUGCAGGUCUGUGAAGUGUUCUACAAAAAG
ensembl:snRNA U6 U6 spliceosomal RNA